GAAAUGCGAUAAGUAAUAUGAAUUGCAGAAUUCAGUGAAUCAUCGAAUCUUUGAACUCACAUUGCGCCCGCCAGUAUUCUGGCGGGCAUGCCUGUUCGAGCGUCAUUUCAACCAUCAAGCCCCGCGCUUGUGUUGGGGACCUGCGGCUGCCGCAGGCCCUGAAAACCAGUGGCGGGCUCGCUGUCACACCGGGCGUAGUAGAUUUUAUCUCGCUCAGGGCGUGCUGCGGGUUCCGGCCGUUAAAAAGCCUUUUUUACCCAAGGUUGACCUCGGAUCAGGUAGGAAGACCCGCUGAACUUAAGC
rnacentral:misc_RNA from 1 species